AGGCAACCAAAUCGGCCGCAGCUGAGAGAUGGUAGAGCUCUCUUGUGUCGCCAAUAACAAGAGCGCUGAGGCUGCCAGUUCCUCUCUUCUACAGAGGUGUGAUGGUGGGAAAGAACAGACUUCUGCCGGAGAGACUUUCUAAUGUGACGGUUUUGCAUUCUGAAUCAGCCAUCAUCAACGCUCUAUGCCGUUUUAAUGAAAUUUCAGUGACAAGUGACAAGUGGUGUUGACUGCCCUCAUCUUCAUUACCUCCUUACAAGGCCUCUGGGAACAUCUAAGUGUGAGCAGAAUGGUUCAAUCCAAGGAGGUCUGUGAUACCUGGAAAGAGCUAUCUGUUAGCAUUCCCAUUCAUCUCAAUGGCAGCUCCUCAGCUGGUGCAGGACCUCCAAGAAUACGCGAUCAGAAAACUGCAAUUUGUUGCCAGGUUGUUUGAGCCAUAAAUGAGGUAAUUGAGGUUUAAAAAAAACUGGAGCAGAUUUUUAUUUUAAUAAAGUAGUUAAUUACUUGAAAAAUAUUAACACAACUGCAAUAAGUGUUAAUAAAUGGAAAGAAUGUGCCAUUUUUGUAGGUAUAAAUUACACUUACUGCAUUUAUAGA